rnacentral:lncRNA from 1 species
UGUAUUAUCUGUGUAUUUUCUUACUAGUACUCGAAUUCAUGGAUUAGUGUUUAAAUAUGAAUUUGUAGUUAAGCUAGUAGUUUAAUUUUAUAUGUUGGACUUAGAAUUUACUUAGGAGAAAACUAUUAGAAUCUACACUGUCACUCUUUGAAAAUUACCAGAUUUAGUUUUAGGAGCUAUGGUUCAUUUGUAUCGUCGCUGUUUGUAUGCGGUGCAUAUCCAGAAUAGUGUAGAAUGAAUUUUUUCUCGUGCUGGGAUGCCGAGCUUAUUUUACAGUAGUGUGUAGACUGUUUCGGACUGUCGGGUGUCGUCGCGGUUGACGGUGGACCCAGUUUGGUGUUUUUGCAUUGGAUUGUGCCAAAGGCACGUGAGUUUUGGUUGUAGGAUCAGUUAGACCCAUUUACUUUGAUUAUAGCCUGUGAGAGCCUGAUUGAGCUCGGCAGAGACACGCUUGCAUACUCAGUUGGGUAGCGCCCACAAGUGCCACUCCGGAGUCGGGUUUUGUGUGUUUGCGUUGUUGUCGUUGACCUCUUUUUGCAGAGCUUUUUUCUACGGUUGCUGCUGUCGCUGAUAUUAAUCGUGGAAAAGGAGUCGCGAGCUAGAUUCCUUCCAGUCUUGUUGCUGUUCUAGAGGAGUACUAGCUACAGGUAAUUUUGGUUUUUGGUUCAUGUACAUACUGAUGUUGGAUAUUCGCUGGAGCGAGUGAUGUCUGUAUCCUGGAGACUAUGUAUGUAUAGUGAACCUGGUGGUUAUUUAUAUUUGUUUACAGUUCUAUUAGUAGCUCUAUACUCCUAGUUGUAAUUUUGUAUGAUUACAGGUACAGGUACAGUUACAGCAACAGCUAUCGCUUGGUAUACAGAGGAAAUUCUUUUGUAUACGGCGGGUCUGUUGGCGUGCCCGGGAAAACAUGGUAAUCCGAGGCAUGACACUCGAGUCCAGACAAAGUCUCAAGUCCAGACGUGAGGAUUCAUUUAGAGAAUAACGGUUGUUUUGUAUUAUUUAACAAAUAAUCAUUGAAUAACUUAUUUAGACAUCCAUACAUUCGAGUGUGUUUUUAACAUGAUGUUUUUGGGACUUAUAUAUAUAUAGGAUCUUUUGAGAGGAUCUUAUUUUUAAGCUUCACUAUAAUGCUUCUACGUUCUCCGGUGGGACCGUAAAAAAUAUAUCAUGACUCAUCGCGAUAUGCGGAACGCAAUAUUACGUACAGAAACAAACAUGGUAUUUUUCCAUCAUCGUUUCUCACCGCACAUAACGUAAUCUUCCCGCAAUCCCAAACGAAGUCUUAAUUGAUUAUUCCUCUCAAAACAUCACUUUGAGUGAUACCAUAAGGUACAACCAACCCAUUGCCUAUAAAGUGAAAUUGAAAUGGGCUUUUCUUAUAUGGGCAAUAUGGGCAACGCCGCACGCAAAACAUGUGGGCCCAGCAUUUGUCACUCUUGGUGGCUGCAUGCUUGUAGUGGUGCAUAUCGUAAAGUUUUGGCAUGCUUUGAUAAUACGGGCUGAAGGUGAACAGUUGGGGAAUAUGGGCCACCGGUGGGGACGAAGCCCAAAUUUAGGUUGCGAGGAAAGGACCAAAAAUACAUAAUAUAUUUUGUUGGCCAAAACUGUAGAAGGUGACGUUUUUGGUAAGGUGAUGCCUUACGGAUUGUUUCGUUUGCGAAAGUGAAUAUAAAAGUCGCUUUCUAAAAGUAGGUUGAUAAAGUGAGUUUUAACUAAAUCUCAUUUUUUUGACUUCGGCUCAAAAUAUUUCGAAGUCACCAAAAGUGGAGAAAGAUUAUAUUCAGUUUUAACUUUCAUCUUUGAAUUUAUUUUUAAAGUUGAAUUUCACUUUAAAUUUAAAUUAGAAUUAUGAAUAUAAUUCCACAUUCUAAAUUUUAUUUGUAAAUUCAAAUUCAAUAUAAAAUUUUUAAAUUCAAAUUUGUGAAUUUAUAUUUAAAUCUAAAUUUUUAAAUUUUUAGUUUUAUUUGAAUCUAAAUUCUAGUAUUAAAAUUAAAAUUUAAAAUUUAAAAUUAAAAUUUUAAUCAAAUUAUUUUUAGCUAAGAACUUAAGUUUUAACUUUGAAUUCAAAUUGUUCGAACUAUAAAUUCAAAUUAUUGAUUGAAAUGUGAAUUUAAAAUUUAAAAAAGUUGAAAUUUAAAUUCAAACUUAAGUUUGUUAUUUAUAUUUAAUUUCAAUAAUGAGGUUCAGUUUGAACUUUAAAUUUGAAUUAUGAAUUCAAAUAUUUAGUUUGAAUGUGAUGUAAACACAAAUUUUUAAUUUAAAUUUAAAUGCUAAUUCAAAUAAUGAAUUCAUAUUUGAAUUCAGAAUUUAAGAUCAAAGAGGAAAUUAAAAUAUGAUAUAAAUUAUAAAUUUAAAUUAUGAAUUCAAAUUUGAAUAAAUGUUCUAAUUUUUAUGUUUAACUUUUAUUUUGGAAUUUAAUUUCAGUUAUAAAAUUCAAAUUGUAAAUUUAAUUAUAUCUUAAAUUUUAAUAAUAAAUUCAACUUAGAUUUAAGUUUAAAUUUAAAAUUUAAAAUUUAAAAUUUAAUUUGAAUUCUAAAUAUAAAUAUAAAUUUAAAAUUUUAAUUUAAAUUGUGAGUAUAAGUUAUUUGUUUAUAUUUUGCCUUCUCUGCAUAUAAUUAAAGAAUCAAAAUUACAAAACUAUAAUUUUUCAUGUUUCACUUUAUAGUCAAUCAAAUACUCCAACCGAAAAGUCACUUCUUAUACUUCCGUCUUUUUUCCGCAACCAAACAUGCUCUUAAAGAAUUUCUAAAAAAAGUAAUCAUCCAUAUUAUUUUGGAGGCCAUGUAUGAUAGUAUUCAUAGCCAAGAAAAUGUUUAUCAGGUAGUUGCAGUUAAAAUCUGAAAAAUGCACACAAAUUUAACUAAUUAGCAGAGAGAGAGAAAGAGAGGAACGUACUGCGUACAUUUGGUUGGGGGCGGCCCACAGUUGAUUUCUAAAACAACAAUUUGAUAUUUCAUCAAUUGUCUCUAGUGCAAAUGGUAAAGAGCUUAAUAGUUUGUAUCGGAGUUCCUAAGUUCAUAGCACUACAACAAAAACGAUCUAUAGCGACACUUUUAAAUGUAGGUACAUGUUAAAAAAAUGCUGCUAGCUAAAAUUACCGACACUUUUAAAAAGUGUUGCUAUAUGUGGGGUCGCUAGGUAUAUAGUGACAGUUAAAGAGUGUCGCUACAACCUAAAAGAGAGCUGCUAAUUUACCAACACUUAUUUAAGCAUUUAGCAACCGCCAAAACUCUAUCUCGUUGGCUGCGGUGGCGGAGAAGGACGACAGGAAAGGCUCUUCGUCUAGAAUUUUAGUGGAUUGAGUGAAGAGAGAACAAAAGAUGGAAAUUGAUUUUUCUUUUUUUUUUUUCUUUUCUGUUUGUAAUUGGGCCAAAUGGACUGGGUGUGGUGGGUUGAGUAGAGUAAUCUUUUAUUUUUGGUUUGAUUGGGCUUUAUAUUUAGACAUUAGUAGAUAUUUUUUUAAGUUUUAGAAUAAAUGGGACACUUACUCAAAAGUGUCCUAAACAUGUGUCCCUAUAACCUAAUUCUGUUGUAGUGUAGCCCAGUUGCUUCACAUUUUCAGCUAAAUUUAUUUUUUUUAAAAAUGAACGAAGCGGCUAACAUGCUACCCUUCUUUCUAAAAAAAAAAAAAAGAAUUUUAAUCUUUACUAUACCUAACUAGCUAGUUAGGAACUUAUAUAUACUUUAUAAAAUUCGGCUACGAUACUAUUAAUAACACCAAGCACUUAGUAUUAUCAAGUUUUCCGUCAUUAGAUCUACCAAUUAACCAUUUCUAUUUGUGAUAUCAUACUAUUCAACAAAUCACCCACUCAAUUCGAUCUGGGGGUCACUAUUAUUUUAAUUACACAUUCUUUUAUCCAAGAGCUAAAAAUCUAAUAGUUCCAAUGACUUGAUGCUAUCAAUUGUAUAGUAGCAUAUAUAAUUCUAAUUUAUAAAAUGUUAAGAGAGGCCAUAGCCAUUAUGGGCCUCACAAUGAGGCCGAGGAAGAAGAUUCUCGGAAGGCGGAGUUCUUUCCAAGAAGGUUAUAGGGAAGGCCAAGUUCUGUCCCGUGGAAAGCAUUGUUGACGAGCAAAUCGGGCAGUCUUCCGGGGCCACGUAAAAGAUUCGAAAGAAAGAAAAGUGUAGGUUUGGCUCAAAGGGAGGAAGUUAACAAAGUCCACGGUGUGUUCCUUGUGCUUAAUUAUUUUUGGGUAGUCAAAAACUGAGCAUUGAGUACAAUUGGAGUGUAGGAUAAGCCACAACAAUUAAAUUGUCAGAAGCAAGAGUGUCUUUUGUUCAAACGAAGAAAAAGAAAGAAAGAGACACAAAGAAGGUGUGACUCUCCAAAUGUCCUAUUUCCAAAAAUAUAGAAGAGUGUUAUUAUAUAUAAUAAAUAUUUUAGAAACAAUUAUUUUAAGUUGAUAAUUUGGACUCCACGAAUUAUUAGAACUAGUUGGCUGGGUCAUUAUCAAAUCACCAGCCAAAAAUGUGAGUUGUGAGAAUAUAUGACAAUGUGAGGCGGGGAAGUAUGUGAUACCUCAAUAAUCCUAUAUUAAAUAAUGUAGGAUGACGGGAAUAUGAGACCCUAAUAGUGUGCGAUGGGAAAAGUAUGUGAUAGUGUGAGGUGGGAGAGUAUGGGAGACCCUAAAAAUGUGUGAGGUGGGAGAGUAAGUGAGAUCCCAAUAAUCCCACAUAGAAUAAUAUAGAACAUGAGGGAGUAUGUACGACCCCCAUAGUCCCACAUUGAAUACACUACAACAAAAACGGUCUAUAGCGACACUUUUAAAUGUCGGUACAGGUCAAAAAAAAGUACUGCUGGUUAAAUUACCGACACUUUUAAAAAGUGUUGCUAUAUGUGGGAUCGCUAGGUAUAUAGUGACAGUUAAAGAGUGUCGCUAUAACCUAAAAAGAGUGCUACUAAUUUAGCAAUACUUAUUUAAGCAUCUAGCAAUCGCCGGAACUUUACCUCGUUGGUUGCGGUGGCGGAGGAGGACGAAAGGGAAGGGCCCUUUGUCUAGCAUUUCAGUGGAAUGAGUGAGAGGAGAAGGGGAGAUGGUAAUCGAUUAUUUUUUUAUUUUUUCUUUUCUAUUUGUAAUCGGGUCAAAUGGGCUGGGUUGGGUGGGUUGGGUAGAGUAAUCUUUUAUUUUUUAUUGGAUUCAGCUUUAUAUUUAGACAUUCGUAGAUAUUUUUUUUUAAUUUUGGCAUAAAUAGGACACUUAGACAAAAGUGUCCCAAACAUGUGUCGCUAUAACUUAAUUUUGUUGUAGUGAUAAUGUGGAAGAUGUUAAGAUUUGGUUAAAUUUAUAGUUAAAUUAUAGUUGGAUAAGAAUUAAUAUCUAAAUCUAUUGGAACUAAAUUAAGAUUUAAAUAUUAAUUAGAAUAUGAAUCUAACUAGAUUAGGAUAAAUAUUUAAAUCUUUUGGAGAUAAAUCAAUUAAGAUUUAAAUAUUUAUUGGAGUAGGAAUUCUAAAUAUAUUAGGAUUCGGGUAUGUUUUGAUGUAAGCUUUAUAAAUAGCUCCAUUGGUGGAAAGCGACCAAGUUGAAAUUCUUGAGGAGAGUACGGUGAGGUGUCUUGAAGCUAUUGGUGGACCGUACCAAAGAGAAGCUUGGUCAUGAGUUGCAUGCACCUAGUGCACGGGUGCAUGUGAGAGAGAAAAAGAGAGAGUUGUCUUUUUUGUGGGUUUAUAGAAGACGAGAGAAGGAUAGGAGAGAUUCAGAAAGAGGACUUGGGUUGUAGUUACUCUAUGCAGAAGAGAAGUCAGGUGUAAUCUUCUCUUAUUUAAUAAAUCUUAUUUUACCCACACAUUUUUUGUUUGGUUGUUUUUCUCUCUUUUGUGAUUGUAUCAGUUUUUGCUUAGGAGACGGGUUUAUGGUAAAAAUCUGAUUUGACCCCUUCGUUGCGGAAUCCCAACAAUCGGUACCGGAUCAACAAUAGUUGAUAUCGGAGUGGGUUACGGAUUCUCAAAAUUUGGUACCACGGCGGGUACCGGAUUCCCAACAAUUGAUAUCAGAGUCGAAGGUUACCGAUCUGUGGGACUGAUCGACGGAGAUGGCAAUGAAAUUCAAAAUCGAGAAGUUCGAUGCCAAGAACAAUUUUGGAUUAUGGCAAAUUAAACUACGGACAAUCCUCGUACAACAAGAGUUAGAUCAGACAUUGAACAGAAAAGAGGCGAAGCCGGCGGAGGUUACGGAUGCGGCAUGGACGAAGAUGGAGCGGAAGGCAUUGAGUGUGAGACCCCAGAUAGUCCUAUAUAUGAGAUAUAAUAGGGCUAAACUCUUAACCCGGCUUAAGCAUUUUGGGUGGUAGCUAGACCCAAGAGGUUAAGAGAGUUAAGCGUGCUAGGACGGGAGUAGUCCUAGGAUGGGUGACCCCCUGGGAAGUCGGGGCGUCACAGAUGGUAUCAGAGCCAAUUACCAGCCGGAAGUGUGAGAUGAGUCUCGGCUGAGCCAGGGUCUGGAUGAUGGGUUAGCGAGACAAGUCUCACAUUGCCUGGUACUUGUGAUCUGAGCCUGACGAGGGAUCUGAGCCUGACGAGGACGUCAAGGGCUUAAAGGAGGGGAGAUUGUGAGACCCCAGAUAGUCCUAUAUAUGAGAUAUAAUAGGGCUAAACUCUUAACCCGGCUUAAGCAUUUUGGGUGGUGGCUAGACCCAAGAGGUUAAGAGAGUUAAGCGUGCUAGGACGGGAGUAGUCCUAGGAUGGGUGACCCCCUGGGAAGUUGGGGCGUCACAUUGAGCAUGCUUCAUCUAUCAUUAGCAUAUGAGGUUCUUUACAACGUAGCCAGCGAGACGACACCGGCGAAAUUGUGGAAGAAAUUAGAAUAUCUGUACAUGGCCAAAUCCUUGACGAACAUGUUGUAUCUAAAGCAGCGACUGUUUACGCUGUAGAUGCAGGAAGCUGCGAGCCUGUAUGUGUAUCCUAACGAGUUCAACAUAGUGGUGGCCCAGUUGACAAGCAUCAGAGUCAAUCUGGAUGACGAGGAUAAGGUGUUGAUUUUACUAUCUUCGCUACCGACGACAUAUGAGCAUCUGGUGACCACGUUGCUUUAUGGCAAGGAGACCAUAAGCGUGGAGGCGGUCACGGCAGUGCUUUUCUUGAAUAAGUGUGGAGGCGGUCACGGCAUCAGAGUCCAGCACGCAGAGUCGGGAUACUGCUUUGGUAGUAAGAGCGACAAAGGAGGCGACAAUAUCGACGACCAGAUAUCGACAGAAAAAGCCGCUAUCUGAGAUAGAGUACUUUUACUGUCACAGGAAAGGGCAUAUUAAGCGCAAUUGUCGAAAACAUUAGGAUGAUCUGAAUGAGUUAAAGCGACAAAAGGAGAAAACUGUCGUGAAUCAGGAUAAGACAGUAUCAGUGAUAGCGCAGGUGACAGAGUCAGAGACGAUCGAUUCUGAUGUGUUGUAUGCAGCGACUGGAGGUGUUAAAAUUUCAGAUGACGCACGGGUGCUCAAUUCGGCGUGUUCUAUUCACGAAUGCCCGGAGAAGGAGUCUUUUGCCAUCUAUAAGGCAAUUAAGGGUAGAAAGAUUUUGAUGGGGAACGGGACGGCGUGCAAAGGUUUGGAAGUCGGCACGGUGAAGAUCCUAAUGCAUGAUGGGGUCGUGAGGACGUUGACAGGUGUGAGGCACGCUCCUGAUUUAAAGCGGAAUUUGAUCUCGUUAGGCGCGUUGGACUCAAAAGGUUGCAAUUUUUCGGUUUCAGGUAGAGCUAUGAGGGUCCAAAAGCGAGAUCAAGCCGUGUGCAAGGCGAACAAGCACGGGAAGUUAUACGUUCUGAACGGGAGCACAGUCUGAACGGAAGCGUAGACAGUUUGGGUUCCAAAAGUUCGCGGAGGUGUAGUCACUCGAGGCAGAGCGGCGGAUGCACCGACAUCGAGCGGAAGAGAUAAGAUCAAGAUGGAGCUUGCAUGGUGAGCUCGACGCAGCGGUUGAAAACUACAAAUCCAACCAAGGUGGAAAUUGUUAAGAUUUGGUUAGAUUUGUAGUUAAAUCCUAGUUGGAUAAGAAUUAAUAUUUAAAUUUAUUGGAGCUAAAUUAAGAUUUAAAUACUAAUUAGAAUAUGAAUCUAACUAGAUUAGAAUAAAUAUUUAAAUCUUUUGGAGAUAAAUCAAUUAAGAUUUAAAUAUUUAUUUUGAGUAAGAAUUCUAAAUAUAUUGGGAUUCGGGUACGUUUUGAUGUAAGCUUUAUAAAUAGCUCUAUUGUUGGAGAGCUUAAGGUGUAGUACGGCCAAGUUGAGAUUCUUGAGGAGAGUAUAGUAAGGUGUCUUGAAGCCAUUGGUGGACCGUACUAAAGAGAGGCUUGGCCAUGAGUUGCAUGCACCUAGUGCACGGGUGCACGUGAGAGAGAAAAAGAGAGAGUUGUUUUCUUUGUGGGUUUAUAGAAGACAAGAGAAGGGUAGGAGAAAUUCAGAAAGGAGACUUGGGUUGUAACUACUCUAUGCAGAAAAGGAGUCAGGUGUAAUUUUCUCUUAUUAUACUAUCGGUAGCACGGAGAAAAAGAGAUAGAGAGAGAGAGAGAGAGAGAGAGAGAGAGCUAGGCUGGUAUACUAUCGGUAGCACGGAGGCCUCCGUGCUACCGAUAGUAUACCAGCCUAGCUCUCUCUCUCUCUCUCUCUCUCUCUCUCUCUCUAUAUAUAUAUAUAUAUAUAUAUAGUUCGAUUGGGAUACUAUUGAUAGCACCAAACGUUUCGUGUUACUGAGUUUUCUGCUGUUAGAUUUAACCUUUGGACUAUUUUCACCCAUUAGAUUAUACUAUUAAACUAAUUACUCACUAAACCCUAGGGGGGCCCACAUUACCCUAACUAUAUAUUUUUUCAUCCAAUGACCCAAAAUCUAAUAGCACCAAAUACUUGAUACUAUUGAUAGUAUUCCAACCUAGGUCUAUAUAUAUAUAGAGCAGGACUGCUGUGCUCUCAGGAACACGAAAGCCUCCGUGCUCUUGAGUCGUUUUCAAUGAUAAAAUUUUCGAAUCGACGAUCAGCUCUGUUAGACAUGAUCUAGUGUAUUUGAAGUUUCUAAAAAAUAAUUUUUGUGAUUUUUUGAUAUCAUUUACCUAGUGAUCGAAAGGGUCCAAAAUCAAUAAUUUUUAAUUGUUGAUAUCUACUGUUUUCAAGUUUAACGGUGUAAAAGUAUUCAAAUCAGAUGAAAUUUUGAUACAAAAUUCUUUAUAUUAUCUACAACAAGAUCAAUAUUUCUGAUCGAAAAUUUUAGGGCUAUAUCACCAAUUUUUAUAGGAUUUUUAUUUUCAGUCGUUAAAAAUUAUUGAUUUUGAAUCCUUUCGAUUGCUAGGUAAAUGAUAUCGAAAAUCCGCAAAAAUUAUUUUCUAGAAACUUCAAAUACGCUAUAUCAAGUUUAAUGGAGCCGAUCGUUGAUUCGGAAAUUCCAUCAUCGAAAACAGCUCAGGAGCACGGAGACCUCCGUGCUUCUGAGAGCAUAGCAGUCCUUCUCUCUCUCUCUCUCUCUCUCUCUCUCUCUCUCUCUCUCUCUCUAUAUAUAUAUAUAUAUAUAUAUAUAUCACUCUUCUCUCUCUCUCUUCUCUCUCUUCUCUCCUCUCUCCUCUCUUCUCUCUCUCGAUGGAGUUUCCGAAUCGACAAGUCCACUCCGUUAAAAUAUGAAAUUGAGUAUUUGAAAGGUUCUAGAAAAAAAUUUCAUAUUUUUCGAAAUCAUAUAAUAAGUUCAUCAAGCGCGGUAUAAAAUGAACGAUAAUAUCGAACGAGUUGUUUAAAAAUGGAUAAUCGGAUCUUAAUUUAAGAUCGGAGUUUAUGUGAUACUUUAUCUAGUAGUGAAUAGAAUUUUAUACCAAAAUUUCAACCUAUUCGGAUUUUUGCAUCGGUUAACUAGCAAGUGUUUCAUACGGGGUUAAAAAUUUGCCAAUUUUGUGAAGCUUUGAUCGUAAGGAAAAUGAUGUUGAAAAUUGAUGAAUUUAAUGUUCUAGAUGUUUCAAAUGCCUAGAUAAGUUUGAACGUGGUGUGAUCGUCGAUUCAGAAGCUCUCAAAUCAUUGAACAACAACUAUGAGUGUGAGGAGCGAUGUACUCAUAAUGGAAUAUGUACCCGUAUAUUAUAUUAUCAUAUUAUAUAUUUAGGAGCUGGAUCUGUCAUGCUUCUGAUAGCGACAGAGGCUCCGUGCUAUUCAAGUUGUUUUUAUGUCGACUUUCGAAUCGCACGAUCGGUUCGUUAGACGUUGAUCUUGAGUAUGUUGAAGUAUGCAGAAAAUAUAAAUUUGCGAUUUUUCGAUAUCACUUUGCUAGUGAUCGAAGGUGGCUAAAAAUACACGGUUGAAAAUAAAUAUAACAAAUUAUCGUGAUAUGACAUUAAAUUUUUGAUCAAAUUCAUUGAUCUUGUUUUAUAUGUUAGAAGAAUUUUCUAUUAAAUUUCAUGUGAUUUGAAUAUUUUUACACGUGUAACUUUGCAAACGGCUCACCACAGGCAUUACUACCGAUAGUAUUCUAGCUCAACUCUCUCUCUCUCUCUCUCUCUCUCUCUCUCUAUAUAUAUAUAGAAUUAGGCUACUAUACUAUCUAUAGUACCGGAUACUAUCUAUAGUAUUGGAGCUCCGGUACUAUAGUCUUGCUUUCGAUCUUAGGGUGUUCAAAUUAAUGAUCCACACCGUUAAAUAUGAUCUAGGGUAUAUGAAAUUCUUAGGAAUAACAUUUUAGUUUUUUUCGACAUCGUUUACUUAGUAAAUAAAUUAUGUCAAAAUGGACGGUGGAAAUUGAAUAAUCUUUAAAAUUUGAGCAUAGGAUUUUUAAAUUUAAGAUCAAGAAUGUUAACCUUAAUCUAGAUAGUUUAAACUAUUUUCUAUCAAAAUUUGAAGAAAUUUAGAUUCUUCCACACCGUUAAACCCCAAACUCGCCAUAGUAGCAAUUGAAAAUUGACAAUUUUGAAAUAGUUUGAUCAUAAAAUAAACUAUGUUGAAAAAUAUAAAAUUUUAUUUCUAAAAACUUUAAAUACCUUAGAUAAGUUUUAACGGUGUGGAUCGUUGAUUUGAACAUCCUAAGAUCGAAAACGAGACUAUAGUACCGGAGCCCUAGUACUAUAGAUAGUAUAGGAGACUAGCACACUCUCCUCUCUCUCUCUCCUCUCUUCUCUCGCUCUCUCCUCUCUUCUCUCUCUCGAUGGGAGUUUCCGAAUCGACAAGUCCACUCCGUUAAAAUGAAAUCUGAGUAUUUCGAAAGUUCUAGAAAAUAAAUUCAUAAUUUUUCGAAAUCAUUAAUAAAGUUCCAUCAGCGCGGUAUAAAAUGAACGAUAAAAUCGAACGAGUGUGUUUAAAAAGGAUAAUCGGAUCCUUCAAUUUAAGACUCGGAGUUAUUGAUCUGGUUAUUAGUAGUGACAUAGAAUUUUUACACAAAAUUCAACCUAUUCGGAUUUUUGCACGGUUAACUAGCAAGUGUAUUCAUACGGCGGUUAAAAAUUGCCAAUUUUGUGAGCUUUUGAUCGUAAGAAAUGAUGCUUGAAAAUUGAUGAAAUUUAAUGUUCUAGAUGUUCAAAUGGCUAGAUAACGUUUGAACGGGGUGUGUGUUGUAUGUCGGAUUCAGAAGCUCUUAAAUCAUUGAAAACAACUUAUGAGUGUGAGGAUGCGAUGUACUCAUAAUGGUAUGUAGCCCGACUAUUAUAUAUCAUAUAUAUAUAUUUAGGAAAGCUGGUGCUGUCGAUGCUUCUGAUAGGACAGAGGCUCCGUAGCUUUCAGUUGUUUUGAUGUCGACUUUCGAAUCGCACGAUCGGUUCUUUAGACUGUUGAUCGAGGUAUGUUGAAGUAUGCAGAAAUUAAAUUUGCCGAUUUUUCGAUAUCACUUUGCUAGGUGAUGAAGUGGCUAAAAUUACACGCGUUGAAAAAUAAAAUCAACAAAAAUUAUGCGUGAUAUGACAUUAAUUUUGGAUCAAAUUCAUUGAUUUGUUUUAUAUGUAUAGAAGAAUUUUCUAUUAAAUUUCAUGUGAUUUGAAUAUUCUCUUACACCGUGUAAGCUUGCAAACGGCUCACCACAGGCAGUUAAAAUUAUUGAUUUUUGAGCCCUUCGAUCAGCGUAGGCAAAUGAUAUUCGAAAAUCACAAAUUUAUUUUCUAGGUACUCAGUAUACUUUAGGUUAAACUCUAACGGCGGCGAUCAGGUUUGAUUCGAAAGUGCGCGAACAUCGAAACAUAUUGAAGCGACGGCAGGGCUCCGUUGCUCAGAGCAUACCAGCCCUCAUCUCUCUCUCUCUCUCUCUCCUCUCUCUCUUCUCUAUACAUAUACUAUACUAUAUAUACAUAUAUAUAUAUAUUUAUUAAUUAUAUAAUAUAUAUGUAUAGAGAGAGAAGAACGAGAGCAUACGAGAGAAGAGUUUGACUGGGUACUAUCGGUCAGAUAUAACUGCUCGUUUUACUUCCGGAUUUGUUUUUGAUGAAGAAGACUUUCCAAUGUUAUUGGAGCCACGAAUCGACACCGUGAACAUUGAUCUAGACCAUUUAAAUUUAUAUAGAAAUCAAAUUUGACCAAUGAUUUUUGGUACAUUCGGGGUGGCCGGGGUGUAUGUGGCUGAGGUACUUAAGUGGUUUGUACGAACGAUUCAAGUAGUCAAAAGAGUCAGAAUGAUUUAAAAUGGCGCUUAGUUUAUGGUGCGGUUUGCUCCGUUUAACGGGGAUUAUGAUUAUAUUAGAAAGAUGUUCAAAUCAACUAAAUUUUUAGGUUAAAACAAUUCUUUAAACUAUUAUAAAGAAAUAAAGUUGGACUCUAGAUCUGGAAAUAUAAAAUUGUUUCAUCACUUUUUUGAAGGAUAUUCUUUCUAAGCCAAUUUUAUUUUCUUUACAUUGAUAGACAAGAGAACAAUAUCGAAAAUGUGUACGGUGAAAUUUGGAAUUUCCAGAUAGUUGUAAAUAGUUUAGAUCGAUGUUUUAACGGUACCGAUCGAUAAGGGUGGACAAGCUCUAUCAUUGAAAAUACUCGGUAGUAAACCGAGCCGUUUACUACCGAUAGUAUUCUUAGCCAUAACUAUGUUCUUCUCUUNNNNNNNNNNNNNNNNNNNNNNNNNNNNNNNNNNNNNNNNNNNNNNNNNNNNNNNNNNNNNNNNNNNNNNNNNNNNNNNNNNNNNNNNNNNNNNNNNNNNGUAAAAUUUAUAAAACUAAUAUAAAAACUCAAUAUAUAUAUACUAUAUCAUAUAUAUAUAUAUAUAUAUAUAUAUUAUAUAUAUAUAUAUAUAUAUAAUAUAUAUAGGAUCUGGCUGACGUAUACUCUUCAUGUAGAUGAUCGCCAUCUACUUAUAAGUUGUUUUCGAUGCAUAGUAGCUUCCGAGCAGCAACGAUACAUUACUGCUUCAUAAGCAUCUUAGAGCAUUUAAAACUUCUAGAACCAAACUUUUUCUCUUUUUUCGACAUCAUUACGUUACGAUCAAAAGCCGAUCACAAAAUUGAUAAUUUUAACGCGAGUCCGGUUAUGGGAUAUUUGCUAGUUUAACGGUUAACAAGUAUUGGAAUAGAUUAAUUUUUUAUCUUAGAAUAAUUCUUAUUGCACUUACCUUUAGGUUAAAUGCAUGUCAUACUCGCACACAAAUUGUAAGGAUCCGCCAUACAUCCAUUUUUAUGUAGAGACGUCGUUCGAUUUCGACAUUUCAUUUAUAUACCCAUUUGAUGGACAUAUAAUGAUUUCGAACAAUUACGAAAUUAUUUUCUAGAAAUUUCAAAUACUUUAGCACUCAUAUUUCACGGAGUGGAUCGUUGAUUCGGAAGCCCAGAUACGAAACAACUUAUGCAAGUACGAAGAGUUUCUUAACUCAUAAGAGUAUGAGUAGCCGUUACUCUAAUAUAUAGUUAUAGUACUAUAUAUAAUUAUUAUAAUAUAUUAUAUAGGGCAUAAUUGCCAUAUACCUUAUGCGUUUUCUGCAAUAUAUCUUUUGAUGUUACGCACUUUUUUUUGUUUCUUUCUAAAAUACCACCCCUGCCAUGUGUUCCGACCGUUUAUUCCAAAAUACCCCAUGCAGUUAUCCCCUGCUUAAACAUAACUUGGCUUAAACAUGCGUGGUUAAAUGUAACCAGAGUUAAAGGCCUAAUUAAAAUACCCAUAUUUACCCCAUAUCUUAUAACUAUAUCUUAAAUUAUCCUUUCAUUUCUCUCCAACUUAACAUUAUUAGGUCUCGAUUCAAGCCGCGCUCUGCUGCACCGCCCGCCGCCACCGCGAGCCGCCAGCAGCGUCACCGCCACCGCAACCUCGCGCAUCGUCCUCCGCCUCCACCUUCGGCCCCAAGAGCCUCGCUAUUCGACACAAAAAAACGGCCGCAACGUCGCCACUCUCGUCAUCGUCCGUGACGUCCAUCAUCCCACACCUUUGGCUGGCGCCGGGGAGCAGAGCAUAGCCGGCAGACGGGACAAGUGAGGAAGAGGAGAGGGAGCGGGGCAUGAAGUUAGCGGGGCAUGUCGGGAAGCGGGGGAGGGGACGGUGGAGCGGAUCGGGGGACGGCGGUAGCCGGGUGAGACGAGAGCGGGCGGAGCUCAUCGGGGAGCACUGGUCGUGCGCGAUUCCCACGAGGCCAGUAUGCAGGCCGUCUAGUGGAGCCGCUGAGAUGAGAGGGAAGGUCCAGCGUGGACCUCCUCUCAUUUAAUAUAUAAUAUAUAUAUAUAUUAUAUUAUAUUUAUAUAUAUAAUAUAUAUAUAUAUAAUUUUAGUAAUUAUGAUAUGUAUGUAUGUAUCGUAUACAUAGCAUUAUAUAAUGUAUUAUAUGGUAUAUAUCCAUAUAUAUAUAUGAUAUAUAUACAUAAUAUAUAGUAUAUAUGUACUAUUUUAUUUAUACAUACUACAUAUAUAUAUAUGCAUAGUAAUGUAUAUAUAUAUAUAUGUAUAUAUAUGUAUAUAUAUGUUAUAUUGUAUAUAUAUGUUAUAUGUAUAUAUAUGAUUAUAUUAAAUAUAUGUAUUAUGUUAUAUAUAUGUAUUAACUAGUAUAUAUAUGUAUAUGUUAUAUAUAUGCUAUAAUUAUGUAUUAUUAUAUGUAAUAUAUAUAUGUAUAUUAUAUAUAUAUACAUAUACUAUGGGUAUAUACAUAUAUAUGAUAUAUAUUAUGUUAUAUCGUGUUAUAUGUAUAUAUAUUAUAUAUAUAUAUAUGAUACUAUAAUAUAUAAUAUAUAUAUAGGCAGGGCUAGCCUGUGCUAUUGAGGCAGCCACAGCCGACCCUUGUGCUUCCUAACUUCUAACCACCAUCAAAUUGUAUGCGAUGGUUAGAAUGAGAGAGGAGCGAGAUAUUAAGAGAAAUUCAGAGAAAGAGAAAUUGAACCACACCCCAAUUUCUCCCAAUAUCUCCAUCCCCUCCAUCUCUUCAUAACACCACCCAUCACAAAUUGCAUGCGGUAGCUUACAGAAAUAGUUGGCGCACAAGCGAGCUGCUGACUGAUCACUAUAGCCAGAGUAGCCCUACUCAUAUAUAUACCCAUACCCAACUACUCAUCUCCUCAUCAUCGUUAAAAGUAUCAAGCUAUUGGUGCUUGUAUAUUAGUACUUAUAGAUUUCUGACCAUUGAAUAAAGAGAUUUGUGGUUAGGAUGAUGUGGGAUUUCUAGGAUUGAGUUGAUGGUUUGUUAAGUAGUAUAAUCUAAUGGAUGGAAAUGAUCAAAUAGGGAGAUUUAACGGUAAAAAAUUUACAAGUCCCAAAUACUUGGUACUUUUACAAACUCCAUAGUCAGACUAUAUAUAGAGUAGGGCUACUAUACUCUUAUCAAUAUAGAGCCCUUCGUACUCAUAAUUUAUUUUUGAUGAUUGAGCUUCCGAAUCGACAAUCGACUUCAUUAAAUAUGAUCUAGAGAUUUUUAAACUUAUAGAAAAUAAAUUUUGUAAUUUUUUGAAAUCACAAUAAAGUCCAUCAAACGGGAAUAAAAUGAACGGUUAAAAUCCAAUGACGUCCUAAAAAUAGAUGAUCAGAUCCUUCAAUUUAAAAUCAGAGUUUUAGAUCUUUAUCUAGAUAGUGAAUAAAAUUUUCUUUCAAAGAUUCAACCGAUUCUCAUUCUUUUAUACUGUUAAACUAGCAAAUAUCACAUACUGCCGUUAAAAAUUAUUAAUUUUAAAAUUUUUUGAUCAGGUAAAUCAUGUCAAAAAAUUGUAAAAUUUUAUUUCUAAAAAUUUUAAAUGUUUUAGAUAAUAUUUAAUAGUCUGAAUUGUCGGUUCGGAAGCUCUAUCAUCGAAAACGAUUUAUUAGUACGAAGACGAUCGUACUCAUAAGAAUAUAGUAGCGAAUCUCUCUCUCUCUCUCUCUCUCUCUCUCUCUCUCUCUCUCUCUCUAUAUAUAUAUAUAUAUAUAUAUAUAUAUAUAUAUAAUGUAGAGUGGCUGGUAUGGCUUAGGAGCCCGGAGCUUGCCGUGCUUCCAAUUGUUUUCGAUUUCGACUAAUCGACGAUCCGGCUCGUUAAGAGUUGAUCGUAGGUAAUUGAAGUACCUGUAGAAAAAAAUUUUGUGAUUUUUCGAUACACUUUGCCUAUGUGUCGAAGGGGCUCCAAAAUCAAUAAAUUUUAAUGUGUGUAAAGUGAGGCCGCGUUCAUAGUUUACGGUGUGAAAAUAUCAAAUCACAUGGAAAUGUGAUAGAAAAUUCUUAUUAUCCAAUUAAACAAGAUCAAAUAACUUUUGAUCUAAAAUAUUUAAUGUCAUAUCAUCAUAUUUUGUAGAUUUUUAUUUUCACCCGUUGAUUUUGAGGCCACUUCGACACUAGGCAAACUGAUUAUCGAAAAAUCGCGAUAAAUUAUUUUCUAUAUACUUCAAAUACUCUUAGAUCAAGUCUACGGAGGCCGAUCGUCAAUUCGAAAGUCUGAAUAUCAAAAGCAAAGUGGAAGCACGGAGCCCUCCGGUGCUUUCAUAAGAUCCUAGCGCGAACUCCUCUCUCUCUUCUUCAUCUCUCUUCGUCUCUCCAUCUAGAAUUACUAUCGAGUAAACGGCGUUUAUACUAUUUGUUUUUUCGAUGAUAGAGCUUCAAACAUUGACACGAUGCUCCGUUCGAACCUAUGAUCUAUACACUUGAUAGGUUUAGAAUAUCAAAUUUCAAAUCUUUUCUCACAUCUUUGCCUAAUGAUCAAAGGUUCAAAAAAUUGUAAUUUUAAUGGUCGAUAAGGUAGGUUUUGCCGUUAACGUGAUAAGAUAGCCUAAGAUCAAUUGGAAUUUUUGUUAGAAACAUUGUUUAAACUAUUUAAAACAAGAUCUAUCUCUGAUUUGAUUUACAAGACGUAUAUCAUUUUUUUAAAGAGUAUCAUUUUCAGCCUUUCAUUUCUUUUCACUUUGAUAGAUAAAGAAUAAUAUCAAAAAGCCGUGAAAUUGCAUUUCUAGUAGGUUUAAAUGGUUUAGUCAUAUUACGAGAGCGAUCGUCAUUUGCAGAGUUCUAUUCAUACAAACAAUCGGUGUAAGAAUGCUCGUUUACACCGAUAGUAUUCUAGUUCAACUCUCUCUCUCUCUCUCUCUCUCAUCUCCUCUCUCUCUCUCUAUAUAGAUAUAAUAUGAAUUAGUUGCAAUACUAUUAAUAGUAAAACACUCUUUUGUACUAUCAGUUAUUUUUUAACCUUUGGAUGAAAAAUGUACGGGUUAAGGAUAUAUUAGUCAGUUAGAGUUGAGUGGUCCCCUAGGUUGAGUGGUCCCCAUGGGUUAUAGUAUUUAACUCAAUAGUUAGAAAUGAAUAAAGGGUUGAUCCAAAGGCUAAAAACUGAUAGCAACAAUGAAAUUUUGCUACAAUAGUAGCCGAGUCCAACUCUCUAUCUCCCUCUCUCCUCUCAUCUCUCCCUCUCUCUCUCUCUCUCCUUCUCUCUCUCUCUCUCUCCUCCUCUCAUCUCCUCUCUCUCUCUCUCUCUCCUCUAUAUAUAUAUAUAUAUAUAUGCAUGCGUGCUUAACAAUAUCUGGUGCAUCUGUACAGCUCGAUUGUGAACCGCAGUUCAUCCCAUUUUCAUGUAUAGCUAGACUACAUCUCAUUUCACCAAUUAGUUGUGGCAGCUUUUUUUUCUUUUCUUUUUUUUUUUUUUUUGAUAGAAUUAGGGUGCAUUUGGUUCGCACUAUUUUUUAAAAAUUUCUAAUAAUUCAAUAAAAAUAAAAAAAUAUGACAAUAAAUAUAUUAAAUAAUUUAGUUGGUAAUGUUGAAUUUAUUUGGGAAUGAGAUUCAUCCCAAAGUACUAAUUUCAUCAUUUUGAAAAGAGUGGAUAUUCUCAUAUUAAUAGAUUAGAAUAAUCAAAAUAUAUCAAUCUUUUUUUGUUCUCACCCGCCGGCUAGUUGUUAUUAUUUUUCUUUACUCUCUGGCCUCAUAACUCUCUAAGCUUAUCUGUUUUUCUCUAAACUUUUUUUUUUUUUUUUUUUUCUGUCUCUAAGCUAAGCUCUCUCUCCCUCUCUUUUUUUUAAAAUCUAAAUCAACUCUCUCACUCUCUCGAACCUUGAUUCUAUCUCUCUUUCUAUUUUUUAAAUUAUAAUAUUCUCUUUUUCUCUAACCUAUGUUCUCUUUUUUUUUUCUAAAAAUAUGUUGAAAUUUUUUAUAGCAUUAUUUGAAAUUAAUUAAAAAAAUAAAUAUAUUGAUUGUAUAUUUCUCGUAAUCUUAAAUAAUAUGACUAAAUAAUAUGGCCAUACAAAUCAAACUAUGGAAUGUUACAUUUUUAAUAAUAGGAUAAAUAGGAAUAAAAUUUUUAAGCAUUUUUUAUUUACAAUAAUCUUUUAUACUGUGAACCAAAAAUGCCCUUAAAGUCAUCAGUUUGUGAUCAAUUUUAGUACAAAAUUUUGAGAUUUCUAUUAAUAAUUAAGUGAUGGGAAAAUUUAGCCCUUGGAUAGGGUGUAAACGGGUUGGAUUCAAGAUCAGUUUUUAGAAACCUAAAUCCAAACUCAACUAUCAAACUCGAAAAGUCAAAUUCGAACUCAAAUUCGCGCAUUUUAAAAUUCAUAUCCAAACUUGAACGGGACAAAAAAAUUUGAAAUUUGAAUUCGAAUGUGACAGAUUUUAAAAUCCAUAUCCAAACCCAAACCCAAAAUCUGAAUCUGAAACUGUUAUUUCUCUUUACCAUAUUUCAAACAUAUUAUGGCUUCGUUUGGAAUUGCUGGAAGAUUGCGUGACGUGCUGUAAGAAAGUACAUUGAAAAAAUACCAUAUUUGUUUUCGUACGUAAUACGUAAUAUUGCGUUCCGCAUAUCACGAUGAGUCGGUUACGAUAUAUUUUUUCCGGAACCACCGAAGAAUGCAGAAACACAUCCCUAUAUGAUUUUACCCCAACUCCAUUUUAUCUAGUAACGUUAGAUGGACCUCCAUACCAAACUAAGCCUACAUUAAAUCUAAAUUUUUAAAAUACGAUUUUAAAUGAAACACCAAACAUUUAUAUUUUUUUUAAUUUUUUUUUUAUAGAUAGGUAGCACAUUAUCCGCUUUGUUUGUUUUAUUUAGAUAAACUUAGCUGGAAAUGUGAAUCAAUUAGGAUUCGAACUUGGGUCUCGGGUACCAACCACCAAGCCUUUUGCCACUUGCUCUCGGGACGAUCGGUAAUACCAAACAUUUAUGUAAUAUAUAUUUAUAUGUAUUAUAUAAUAUAAAAUCAAUUCACAAAUUCCGAUCAAGUUUGGAUUCAGAUCGGUACAGUCAAAAUCUAUAACUAAAUUCAAAUCUGGCUGAUUUUCGUUUUUAGUAUCUACAAUCAAAACUAUAUAUAUUUAACAUCGAAUAAAUUCUCAUCUUUUCCAUUAUAAAAUGUUAGAUAUCCAUAGUAUUUAUCUGCACUCGCGAGAGGCCCCCGCAAAACGCGGGGAAGGCGCUGUACAAACUCCCGAUUCAAGAGUUAUAUAGAUCCCUAUGUCUUAUUCUGAGGAACAAAUGCACGGAAAUGUAAAACCGACCACACUUCCCAAGACAGUCUGUCACACCAUCCGCCCUCGGUGGGAAUGUAAAAUAUUAGUCUCAGCUCACGCAUCCCUGUCAAUUAUGUUCUUAAUUUAUUUUAUAUAAAAUUGGGUCGGAUAUAAAUAUGUUUUUGUUUUUUUUUUUUUUAAGAAAAAGGUAGCAUACUAUCUGUUUCGUUUAUUUUAUUUAAAAAUAAACUUAGCUGAAAAUAUGAAUCAACUAAAAUUCGAAUUUGGAUUUCGGAUACCAACCAUCAAGCCCUUUUGCCACUUGCGCUAGGAACGAUCGGUGUAACUAUGUUUUUGUUGUAUUGAGCAAACCAAAGAUACAAUGCCUUUCAAAACUGCACUGAUUUGUUUUAGAAAGAAAUAGUAUCUACAACCAAAAUAAUUUUUUAUAACGAUAGAAAUAGAUUUACUGUGAUAAUUGGAAGGCAAUAAACAAAUUCAGAACAAUAAAUUAAAAUAAACAAUUUUGUGAUCUAAAAGGAUUGGGGAUAGGAGACGGAGAGAAAACUGAUCCAAUAUCUUUCAUUUAUUCGCUAAGUCUCGUUCUUCCUUAUCGAAAUUUAAAUUAACCUAAGAAUUUUACCGGUACUUUUAAUUGUUCAUAAUUAACUUUUUUAUCAAAUCUUUGUAUCUCAUUAAUAUAAUUAUUUGAUAAUUUCGAAAGAAGAGGAUUUCAACUCAUGUCAUCGGCGUGUGGUUGUGCCAUGCCGAUCUUUUGUUGGCAAGGUAUGACGCAAUGAGCAUGCACGGCUUAUAUACAUACAUAUAUAUGUAUGUCACGCCCUAGAUUCCUCGUUUUUCUGGGCACGCUAACAAACCCGCCGUAUACAUAGAAAUUUUUUCUGUAUACGAAGUGAAGCUGUACAAGAACCGGUAAUCAUACAACACUACAGCCAGUAGUAUAGAGCUGCUAGAAAGGAAUAAAACAUAUAUAAUAACAGUGGUUCAAUACAUACAUAGCAUCCGGGUACAAAAAUACUCGCUCCAGUGAGGAACAACUUCAGUAUGUAAAGAACCAAAACUACAACUACCUGCAACUGUUACUCUUCUAGCUCAGUGACUCGUCUAGAAGGGCUCUAACUCGCAACGCCCUUACCACGAUCAGUCUCGGUAGUAGCAGCAGCCGGAACGAAGGCUCUGCAAAAGAGGGGUAACAAAUGGGCGUGAGAACUACUGCAAAAACAAGUAGUUCUCAGUGGGUACGUACCGCCCUCAGACUCAUCAGCUCACCCACCAAGUCUACAGAUGAUAGGCUCAAUGAUAGUAAAUAAUUGAAAAUAAUCUAUAGCUAGAUGCCAUUAUACUAUCAUGAUCAAACACUACUAUCUGUAGAAUAAUGCGAUCUCUGACUCAAUUUCACUAGGGACUGUGAACACACCCGUCCCAGGGACUGUGUAUACACCCGUCUCGCCUGUCGAAGCUAUACACCUACCUCCACACUAAGCCGUCUGUGGAGAGCAAGUCCAAUCAGAACAAAACGACACCAACGCAAACGCACAAAGCUCGACUCCGAAGUGGCACUCGUGGGCGCUAUCAACCGAUUAUGCAAGCGUGUCUCUAUGCCGUCUCAUUAGGGAUUGUGAACAAUGCGAUCUUUGACCCAAUCUGAUUAGGGACUGUGAACACACCCGUCCCAGGGACUGUGAAUAUACCCGUCCCGCCUGUCGAAGCUAUACAGCUACCUCCACACUAAGCCGUCUGUUGAGAGCAAGUCCAAUCAGGACAAAACGACACCAACGCAAACGCACAAAGCUCGACUCCGAAGUGGCACUCAUGGGCGCUAUCAACCGAUUAUGCAAGCAUGUCUCUAUCGAGCUCAAUCAGGCUCUCACAGGCUAUAGUCAAGUAAACAUGGUCUAAGAAUCCAAUUCACGUGCCCUCGGCACAAUCUAAUGCAAAAACAGUAAUCUGGGUCCACCGUCAACCCCGACGGCACCCAACAGUCCAGAACAGCCUAAAUACUGCUGUAAAAAUAAGCUCAGCAUCUCAGCACAAACGUAAAUACAUUCUACACUAUCCUGGGUAUCCAUCGCCCACAAACUGCGGCGAUACAAACAAAUUACGGCUCCUAGAGCUAAAUCUGAUAGUUUUAACAUAUGACAGUGUAGAAUCGGCAGUUUCUCCUAAGUCAAAUCCAAGUCCAACAUGUAUUAUUUAACUAACUCACUACAACAUACUCCAAAUUCAGAUUUCGUUUAAUAUACUAAUCGAUGAAUUCGAACUAAAAACAUGAUAUACAAAUGCUGAAAAUAUACAUGUCGACUGUGAAUACACUUAGGAGGAGAAUCCGAUGAUUAACCCACCUCAAACAACUCGACGACAGCCCGCAACUGCUGGAAACCAUGUCGAGGCCAACCAAGACCACUCCGAACCAGCAACAACACUACCUCGAGGAUCUAAAUACCAAAAAUACCAAAAAUUGCAUUAUAGCCCUCAAUUUUCAGUACUUAAGCUAAAUCUUCCAAUUCCAAUAUCAAAACUCACCUAACAAUCUUCAAAUCAGGUGAGGAAGGUCCCAAAUCUUGUGGACUAAGAUGGAGAAUCACCCUCAGGUCCAAAAUCCAGACUCCUCCAAAGAUAGCAUUAAGAAAACCCAAAAUUUCUCAAAUUCAGCCCAAAACUAACAGCAACAAGAAAAAACACAGAAUUGACUAAGCUAACCUCAACCAAAUUCUAUCAAAAUGGACUCCACGAAUUUCUCUUGAAGUCCAGAAUCCAACAAACCAAGUUUCAUGGCUAACGAAACUGUCUACGUCGCAUACGAGCCAAAACGCCGAAGGUCGCUGCAGGGAAACUACUAGAACUGCAACCCUCAAUGUGGAGAGUGAGCAAUUUGAGAAAAUUGUAGUAAUUUGAGGUGUUAGAUGCAAUUCUAAGCCUUUACUGUGAAGAAAGAAUGAAAAGAGUUCACUGGGGACGAACUCCAGCUAUUUAUAGUGAGCCGGAAGGAUAAAAUAAGCCCCAUGAACAAGCACCACAAACUCGCCACACCUGCAGAAACGAGCACUUUCGGGCGCCCGGAACCAUAUUCUGGACGUCCGAAACCUCCAGGCUACACAAAUCCUCCUCUUCGGUUCCUCCGUCCGCGGUGUGUUGCGCCCAUAUCCUGGUCCGGCGGACCCCACCUACCACCAGCCACGUGUCAGCACAAACGAUACUCACGAGAAGAACUUUCGGACCCACUUCUAGGCGCCCGAACCCAGGAUCCGAAUUGGCUUCCAGUUCUGCUCAAACCAGCAUUUAAGUUCUGGGCGACCCAAACCCUAUUUUGGGCGCCUGAAACUGGCAAAACUCCAGUUUUGCUCCUUUGAGUAUGCCGAGUCCAUUUCUGCAUCCAUUUCGUGCAGAAACGACUCCAACUCAGUUCGACACUCUCCAGAUGUGUCGACCAGUCACUAAUACUGUAGCCGAUCAUAUCCAAACCUCUGGAACACUACAAUGUAUAAAUACCGUUAGAUUUAACCUUUUGAUUAUUUUUAUCGACUCGAUUAUAAUAUUCAACCAGCCAUCUACUCAAUCUUAGAGAGCCCACAUCAUUCUAACCGUACAUUUCUCAAUCCAAGGACUAAAAAAACUAGUAGCACCAAUAGCUUGGUGCUAUUAAUAGUAUUUCAGUCUAGUUCUAUAUAUAUAUUAGUGACUAUAUUAUUAACAUUUAGAUUGGAAAUAUGAUUUGCAAUUUUAUUUAUUUCCAUCUUUUACUUUCUUUCUUAGGAAUUUUUUCAUUCUUAGACAAUCAAUCACAUGAUUGUCUUUACAUGAUUGUCUUUCUAAAAUUAAGGCUUAGAUCAGGCCCUGAUUUAUUAGGGCAUGUAUGUAAAUGGUUAUUUAACCAUUGUUGUAUCAUCUUUGGAGAAUUAAUGAAAAUAAGCCAAAUUCUUUAUGGUAUCAGAGCCAAAUCAAAAGUCUUGAACCAUUAACCUCCUGUUCUAUUUCCUUGUAACCUAUCUCCAUGGCAGAGGAACCUGAUAACACCAAUGCAUUGAAUCCAGUAACUCAGGUUACUCUUGAUUCCUCUUCACCUUUCUUUCUCAAUCCUUCUGAUAGUCCUGGAAAUACUUUGGUGUUAUGCCUGCUCAAUGGAGAUAAUUAUGCAACCUGGGCUAGAGCAAUGACUAAUGCCCUACGUGCUAAAAACAAAUAUGGUUUUGUUGAUGGAACCAUAAUGAAACCAGAGGAGACUUCACCAGAUGUUCAUGCCUGGGAGAAAUGUAACUCUAUGAUCAUUUCUUGGCUUUUCAAUUCUCUAGCCAAGGAAUUGCAUGAUAGUGUUGCAUAUGCUGAAAUAGCAAGGGAGAUGUGGAUUGAUCUAGAAGAACGCUUCUCACAAGGUAAUGCUCCUCGAGUCCAUCAAAUCAAACGUGAUCUUAGUUUGCUUCAACAGGAUGGAUUAAGUAUUGCCACAUAUUUCACAAAGAUGAAGGCUUUGUGGGAUGAAUUAAGCAUGUAUUCAACUAUUCCCAAAUGCUCUUGCGGGGCAGCCAAAGAAUUCGUGCAAGAGCGAGAGAAAGAAAAGGUCCACCAAUUCCUCAUGGGCCUAGGCGAUGCAUACAAUACUAUACGAUCUCAGAUUUUAAGCAUUGAUCCUAUGCCAAAUCUGAGUAAAGUAUAUGUGUUUGUUGUAAGAGAAGAAAAACAACAAUCUCUAUUUGCUAGUCGAGGGCCCAAAGUCGAAGCUGCGGCUUUACAUGUUAGCAAUGUGGUCAAGACAAAUCAAAGAGAUUCUAAUCGCUUCAAAGAAAGAUGUGAUCAUUGCAAGAAAUUGGGCCACAACAAGUUAAGAUGUUAUGAGCUUGUUGGAUAUCCACCAAACUGGUCAAAUAGACGAUCAAGUAGAUUUGUACCAGCAUCUAAUGCAGUCUUUUCCCAAACAUUCAGCAAUAUGCAAACUGAGCAAUCAAGCGGAGUUUCAUACACAUCUGCAAAUAGUUCUCAAGCUACCAAAGUUGAUGCCUCGCCUCUUGCAGGAUUGAACAGAGAACAAUAUGAUCAGCUCCUAAUUUUAUUAGGUGCUGAAAAAUCAUGCAUGCAAGAGUCUCUUUCUGGUAAGGUCUUUCAAAAUUUUUGUGAAGCUGAGUGGAUAAUUGAUAGUGGAGCUUCGGAUCAUAUGACUGCUAGUGAGCGAGCUUUGGCUCAAUCUAAAAUAGCCUAUAACAAACCACCUGUUCGUUUGCCAAAUGGAACCUAUAUGCCUAUUCCAAAAAUUGGUUGCAUUCCAUUAAGCCAAAAUAUUGUUCUAAAUAAUGUUCUAUAUGUGCCAAAUUUUAAAUGCAACUUGAUUUCUGUCCAAAAACUCACCACUGAUUUGAAUUGUGUGGUGACUUUCUUUCCAACAUUUUGUGCCAUUCAGGACCUCACCAAGAAGAAGCUGAUUGGAGUGGGUGAAAUGAGAGAUGGAGUAUACUACUUCAAACAGUCGGCUAUCCCAAUUGCAUCACCUGCCAUUCAACCUAACAAUAACCUAGUAUGGCAUCAAAGGCUCGGACAUGCUUCACAUCACAGUUUAUCUUUUAUUCCUGAAAUUUUUUCUUCUACAAAUAAUUAUUCUGCCGGUUGUGAUGUUUGUCAUCGUGCCAAACAAACUCGUGCAUCAUUUCCUUUAAGUAAUAAUAAAACUAGUUGUUGUUUUGCUCUUAUACAUUGUGAUGUUUGGGGUCGUUAUCAUACACCUUCAAAUUCUGGAGCUCAUUACUUUCUCACUAUAGUGGAUGAUUUUAGUCGUGCCACAUGGGUAUAUUUGAUGCAACAAAAAUCUGAGGCUUAUCAUUACUUGACCUCUUUUUGUGCUAUGGUUAAAACACAAUUUCAAUGUCAAGUGCAACAAGUUAGGAGUGACAAUGGAUCGGAAUUCACUUCUAAUCUGAUGCAAAAAUUUUUCCAUCAAAAUGGCAUCAUACAUCAAACUUCUUGUGUUCAUACACCCCAACAAAAUGGAAGAGUAGAGCGAAAGCAUCGUCAUGUCCUUAAUGUUGCGCGAGCUUUACGUUUCCAAGCUCACCUUCCUAUUGAUUUUUGGGGUGAAUGUGUGUUAACUGCUGCAUAUUUGAUAAACUACACUCCGACUCCACUUCUUUCAGGAAAGUCUCCAUUUGAAAUUUUAUUUUUUAAAGCACCAUCAUACGAACAUCUUCGUGUCUUUGGGUGCUUAUGUUAUGCUCAUCUCCAUUACAAAAUACAUGAUAAAUUUGAUCCACGGGCAGCUAGAUGCAUCUUUGUAGGAUAUCCUUAUGGGAAAAAGGGUUGGAAAGUCUAUGAUUUAGCCACUAAACAGAUUUUUGUUUCUCGUGAUGUGAUAUUUUAUGAAGACCAAUUUCCUUUUGCAAGUUCGAGCACUCUUGAUGCCAUGCAACAUAACCAUCAUGAAACUGUGAUUCCACAACCCAUUCAAGAUUAUGCUGAAGCUCAAAUAGUUCCACCUUUAUCAGUAAAACAAUCUAACCAACCCAUUGAUACUAAUCCUGCAGCUACCUUGAUACCCCAAACAGAGAAUUCUGAUGUCAUUUCUUACAUUAGUAAUUCUCAAUCAACCAAUUCGGAAAAAGAAACUGAUGUUGAACCUAUGCCUGAAAUGCAUCCUACAUUUUCUCGACCACAAAGAACACACAAACAACCAACUUAUUUAAUAGAUUAUAUAUGCCACUCUGCUCUUGGAAACUCCAACUCUCACUCAUCACUUCAAGAUGCUUCUUCCGGUACGUCACAUCCUCUUUCGCAUUUUAUUUCCUAUGAUCGCUUCUCGCCUAAACAUCGAGCUUUCCUAGCGGCCACCACAAACUUGGAUGAGCCAAAGUCUUUUUCUCAGGCAAUAAAUGAUCCGAAGUGGCCUGAUGCUAUGGCGAAGGAAAUUCAAGCACUUGAAACAAAUCAAACAUGGACUUUAGAGCAUCUCCCCCCUGAUAAGAAAUCUAUUGGAUGCAAAUGGGUCUAUAAAAUCAAAUAUCGAGCUUACGGAAGUAUAGAACGCUACAAAGCACGCCUCGUGGCCAAGGGUUACACACAAAUUGAGAGAUUAGAUUUUCAUGAAACAUAUGCUCCAGUUGCUAAACUUGUGACUGUUCGUUGUCUACUUGCUGUAGCAGUCGCAAAGAAUUGGGAACUUCACCAACUUGAUGUGAAUAAUGCUUUUCUACAUGGUGAUUUAGAUGAAGAAGUAUACAUGUCUCUUCCACCAGGUUUCUCCAAAAAUCAGGAUGGAAGGGUUUGUCGUUUACGUAAAUCUCUUUAUGGAUUACGACAAGCCUCAAGAAAUUAGUUUGCUAAAUUUUCUGAUGCCCUUAAAAGGUAUGGUUUUCUUCAAUCUAAGGUGGAUUAUUCGCUUUUUACAUUCAAUAAAGGAGAUGCAUUUUUGGCUGUCCUUGUGUACGUCGACGACUUGAUCAUUGCAGGAAAUAAUUCCAAAGAGUGUCAAUUGCUCAAACAGUACCUUGAUAAUUGCUUUCAUAUCAAGGAUCUUGGUACUUUGAAAUACUUUCUUGGUGUGGAGGUAGCUCGUUCUCCUUCGGGUAUAUUUUUAUGUCAAAGGAAAUAUACCUUGGAUAUUCUAGCUGAAUGUGGAAUGCUUGGAGCCAAGCCUGCAUACUUUCCAAUGGAACAACAACACCAACUCUCUCAAAAUUCAGGAUCACCAAUUGAUGAUCCUGCACAAUAUAGACGUCUCAUUGGGAGGCUCAUAUAUCUCACUAUCACUCGACCAGAAAUUACAUAUUCGGUGCAUAUCCUCAGUCAAUUCAUGCAAAAGCCAUGCCAAGGACAUUUAGAUGCAGCGAUGAGAAUUCUACGUUAUUUAAAGUCUUGUCCCGGACAAGGCAUCUUUCUUUCGGCUUCAAAUGAUCUACAAUUGCGGGCUUACUGUGAUGCAGAUUGGGCAAGUUGCCCUAUGACACAUCGCUCCCUUACAGGUUAUUUUGUCAUGCUAGGUUCUUCACCUAUUUCUUGGAAAGCUAAGAAGCAAACAACAGUUUCAUGUUCAUCUGCAGAAGCUGAAUAUCGAUCCAUGGCUGUUACUACUUGUGAGCUAAUUUGGCUUCGAAAUUUGCUUUGUUCUCUUGGAGUUGAUCAUCCCAAACCAAUGAGGCUGUUCUGUGAUAACCAAGCGGCACUUCACAUUGCGGCUAAUCCCGUUUUCCAUGAGCGUACUAAACAUAUCGAAAUUGAUUGUCAUUUUAUUCGCGAACGGCUUCAAUCGCAUGAUAUUGAAAUCUAUCAUGUAUCCAGUAAUCUCCAACUUGCCGAUAUUUUUACUAAAGCACUGGGAUGACAGCAGUUUCAUUUUUUGCUUGGCAAGUUGGGCAUCACCGAUGUUCAUGCACCAACUUGAGGGGGAGUAUUAACAUUUAGAUUGGAAAUAUGAUUUGCAAUUUUAUUUAUUUCCAUCUUUUACUUUCUUUCUUAGGAAUUUUUUUAUUCUUAGACAAUCAAUCACAUGAUUGUCUUUCUAAAAUUAAGGCUUAGAUCAGGCCCUGAUUUAUUAGGGCAUGUAUGUAAAUGGUUAUUUAACCAUUGUUGUAUCAUCUUUGGAGAAUUAAUGAAAAUAAGCCAAAUUCUUUAUAUAUCACGAUACUGCGGGCAUUUAUAUAAAAGCCUAAUCUAAGAGUUAACUGACUAAGUUAUUAUUAAUAUUUAAAUUAAGAACUUAAUUUUUAAAUAAUUAAUAUUCAAAUAGUUUAUAUAUAUAAAUGAUAUAUAUGUAAUCAUAUUCUCUUAGACACUCUAGAAGUUAUUGUGAACGCACUUACUGAAACUUACACGUUUUCUCGUUGAGACUUAAACUCUUCUGAGUGCAUUCAAUCGCCAUACUACAUUUUUAUGAUUUCUCAUUGAAUCUGUCAUUUUCUAGCCGAUUUAGAAAAGUAACAAUGAUUUUUAAGUCUAUAUAUUUUAACCUAAUGUAUAUAUAUGGACCUGUCACUCGUGUAAUUAUAAUUUUAUGUAAAAAUAGUAUAAACAAAUGAUAUAAUUUGUGUCAAUUAAAAAAAAAGUUUACAGGACUCAUUUGAAGAUGUCCAUUAGUAGAGGGAGUUUACAUAUAUUUUUACCCAUAUAAGCUAUUUUAUAUAUCAAUAUAUAUUAGUAUAUUUAUAUAUAUAAAAAAAUAAAAAAUUUAGAAAAAUGAGAAAAUUUUCUACUACUCUCCUACAAUUUUGCCCAAUCUAUUUACGAUUACAUCUAACAAUUAUUUUGAAUAAAAAUCUGAUCCAACAUAUAUAACAAUAAGAAUCAAUUCAACGAGAUUGUAAUCGGGCUUAAUCAAAUUCAAAUGAGACGACCUAAUAAUUAUCAUGAAAAUUAAAAUGUACAAAACUUACUUAAUUAUUUCUGUUGGUGUAUAUACUAUUAAAUACACUUAGGUUAUUUUGCGAAGUUUUUCUACCUCUCCUAUAUGCUAUUAAUAGUAAACUCUAGUAAAUUAAUAUAUUCAUAUAUUAUAUAAUAUAUAUAUAUAUAUGACUUAUUAAUAUGUUAUAUAUAUAAUAAUAUUUUACAACACUUAGUAAAAAUGUAGUGCAAAUGCAGUAUUAAUUAUGAAGAAAAUAGGCUAUAUAUUUUUUAUUUAAAAUUUUUUAAUUUGUCUGGCAAUAUUUACAAUAUGAUUCACAAUAUGCUAUCUAAAAGAUUUAAAAUAGAUAAUACCGUUGAUUUAGACAAGAUAUGUUUUUAAUGAUGAUAAAUAAUUAACAAUAAUCUCUAUGCAAAUUACUUUUGAAAUAAAUAGUAAAAAUAAAUCUUAGAAUAAAUUUUAAAUUAAUAGAUAAAUAAAGAUCCUUAUAAAUAAUGAAAUAAUUUGAAAUUUAAAUAGUUAGAAUUAAAAAAAGAAUUUUAAAAAUAAAAUGGAAAAAUAUCUUUUAUAGGAUUUUCACACCCGUAAUCUGUUAUAGAAAACUUACUUUUGAAAUUAAAUAGAAAAAUUUAUAUUUUAAGAUUUUCACAUCAGUAAUCUGUUAUAGAGAAUUUACGUAUUCAUUGCUGUUCUAUUUCUAUUUUUAUUCUUAUAUUUAAAAUUUUUCGUACGGAAAGAGAAAAAUGAGCGCUAAUUUUCCUGCCGAAAAAUGGGUCUGUCGAUAGACCCAAAUUUGAAUAUACGUGCUUUUAUAUAUAGUAUAGAUAUAAUUCAAAAUUCAAAAAGAGAGGAAAUUAUCUACUCUGCUCCUUUCAUUAAUUUAAUAAUAAAUAAAAGCCAAAGAGUUGCACCCUAUUAAAUAAAUAAACAAACAAAGUGUUAGUUGGAUGAUGGCUACAAUAUCAUAUAGUCGUUGACUCUAUAAAUAUUUGUACACACACAUAUAUUAAAGUAAUGGUCCAACAAUUGAGCACGAGAAACACACUAUCACCUUUGUAAACUCACCUCACAAGCCAAAACCCUAUAAAAAAACGCUCCCUACUCCUCCCCACUACGUGCCCCACCACAGCUCCUACCACAACAAACAAUGCUCUCCAUGGCGAAAAACUUAGCCUCCCAAGAGUUCUCGCCGUCCACCGCCGGUGUCGGCUACGGUUCUCUCUUCGACGAGCAGCGGUGGCUCCACCGCGUUCAGAACAACUUCAACAAGGACACCGUCGACGACCUCCGCUUCGUCGCGAAGGUCUUCGACGUCCCGAAGAUCCUCCGCGCCCUCAAGCCCGAGGCCUACGUGCCCCAGCUGUUCGCCUUCGGCCCCUACCACCAACACCGGCCCGAGUUCCGCGACAUGGAGCGGUACAAGCUCUCCGCCGCCAGGAGGGCGGAGAAGCUGUUCAGAGACGGCGCCAAGUUCGGCCACCUCGUCAAGGAGAUCGUCCAGCAUGAAGACCACAUCCGCGCUCACUACCACAGGCAUAAACAAUUUCUUUGUCUUUUCCAUCAAUACAUUUAAAGGAACUAUCUUUUAUUAGUUAGUAUUAUUCUAAUGCUUCAUUUGUAGGGAGAGAAUAAAAAAAUAAAAAAUAGAAAAAAAAGAAAGUAAUUUUCUGUCUUAUUAUUGGGAUAAUGGAAAGAAAAGACGAGAAAAUAACUCUCUUUUUUUUCUCUCUCCCUUUCUCUCCAUUUUUGGAGUUCUCCUCUUUUCUUUAAAUUUUAGUCCAAACAAGAGAGAGAGAGAGAAAUAUUUUCUCUCCAAACUUUCUUUUGCUUUCUCCCCUUUAAUUUUCUCUCCAUUAGGGGUGUCAUUAUGCCAAUAGAUGCUAAUACCCGAAAUUUUAUUCAAAUCUGGAUGUGAACGGAGCUGAGUUUAUCAUAUGCUAAACGGAUAUGAUUUUGAAUAAAGGUAUAAAAAAAUGAAAACAUGUUGGAUUUGAAUUCGGGCAUGGAAUUUGUUUGUACCCACCAAAACCCGAACCUAUCCGAACUCUAAUUGAUUUUAUAUUAUAUAUUACAUAUAUGUGAUGCUUUAUUUAAUUUUUUAUUUUGAAAUUUUAUAUUUUAAUAUAAUAUAUUUUGAAAUCUAGUAAAAAGAAAAAAAAGGAUUGAUAAAACUAUAGUGGAUAAAGUGGACCUUUAGAUGAGACGGUAUAAGAUUUACACUUAUUUUUGGAGAUUAUAGGUUGCAUUGUUAGACCAUUAAUCAUGGUUUAUAGUUUAAACGUAUGUUGUAUAUAAUGCUAAUUAAUUAUGAUUUUAAUCAUCUUCUAUGCACAGAACUAUUGAUUUAAAUGAGGACACCCUAGCGUGGAUGAUGGCGAUCGACGCGUGCUUCUUGCUCGAAUUCCUGCGGAACUAUCACCACGUUGAGGAAGAAGGAAAGGCUCUUGUUAACACCGCGGUGAACUGGGUGAACACCAUUGUUAGGGACAUCAUGAUGCUCGAGAACCAGAUCCCCCUCAUUCUCUUAACGAAGACAUUAGAGCUCAUCAAAUGCUCAUCUGAUGAUGCUUCAAACGAGCUAUCACCGGUCUUUGAUAGAUUCAUCAAAGAGGUCUCUCCUUUUAAGAUCACGGGCAAUAUCGUCGUCGAUACUGCUAAGCACGGGCAUCUACUCGAACUCCUCUACUAUACUCUAGUCCCCACGUCGGAAGCCUCCCUUGAUCAAAUAGAGAUGGAUGUUUCAAAUGGGCUGUACGAAAACCUCGCGGAAGAGUUUGAGGACACCGAGAAGGUGAAAAAAGCAUUCGAAGAGGUCGCGAAUCUAAACAUCGGCCCGAUUCGAUUCCUCAAGGAAAACCUCGUAAAGAAACCGAUGAAUUUUCUAGCGAGCGUUCCAGGGAUGCUUAUGAGAAAGAUACCGUUACUUUCGGCCCUAGCUCCCCUUGUUGAGAAGAUAAUCUCUCAAACAAAUGUCGAGUCCAAGUUGGCCGAUGGAACCCUAGUUAGCAAUAUCAUUAGAUCACCUUUGGUAGAUGAGAUCAUGAUUCCCAGCGUCAGCGAGCUUGUCAGCGCCGGUGUAAAAUUUGUCCCUGCGCAGGAGAACGGGAUGAAUGGGAUUAAUUUCGAUGCUAUAACCGGAGUUUUUACUCUGCCCGUCGUCACGCUAGAUGCUAACAGUGAAGUCAUACUGAGGAAUUUGGUAGCAUACGAGGCUUCGGCGGUACUGAAAGGGCCUUUAUUUCUAGCACGGUACACCGAACUGAUGAACGGAAUUAUAGACACGACAGAAGACGUGCAGAUACUGAGGCAAAGCGAGAUCAUACGGAAUCACCUGAAGAGCGAUAAGCAAGUGGCGGAUCUGUGGAACGGGAUGAGCCGGUCGAUUCGGCUUACGAGCGUGCCCCAGCUUGACCACGUGAUCAAGGAAGUGAACAUGCACCACAGCAGGAAGAUGAAGGUGAAGGUCGACAAGUUUCUCAAGAAGUACGUGUUCGAGUCGUGGAAGAUCCUCACUCUGUUAGCAGCUAUAAUCCUUCUGGGCAUGACCGCAUUGCAGGCCUUCUGCUCGGUGUAUACAUGUAAUCGGUGGUUCAAGGCAAUAGAACCCCCGCCAUCCGGGCAACAAUAGAAUAAAUUUAUGCGUCUAAAUCAUGUAUACCUUCUAAGCCCUAAUUUAAUAGUUAUGUCACUAAUCUUGUACUCUGUUGAAUAAAGAUUGAUGAAUAUUGAUUAAUGUAUUUUAAUUUUUUCCUUCAAUACCACAUAAGCCCCUCUAUUUUAUCAUUACCCUUCUUAUACUUCACUCUUUCGCAACAAAAAUUUGAAGUGAGGGUCGGAAAAAGAAAAGAUGAAAAAAAAAACAUUGCAUGAAGGGUACGCAAAAUAGCAGGAUUUUUUCUAUUGGAAUCAAGAUGGCGGGCCCAUGAGGGGGACAUAAGUACUAAUAAUGUGAGAUAUAAGCGGACUAAGUACGUUGACUUUCUUUUUCUUUUUUUUUUUUCUUUUUUUUGUUUUUACAUUGAAGAAUGAAAUGCAAUAUAGAUUGACAAUAUAUAUUCGGAGAGUUAUUGGAAAUUAGAUAUUAAAUUAUUCUAUGGCGUAUGUAAUUAAUAUAUAUAUACAAUGAUACCGACCUUAAUUAGAAGGAACUACUUAAUUAAUAGUUGUGGAAUUGGUCUAUGCUACUCCCAUUUAUACAUAAGCAUACACGAUGACCACUAUUUAAUUUGGCAAGUUCGCUGCAAGAUAACCUUAACUUAAGCCUCCUCACGUUCUCUAUUAAUAAAUAUUAUAACAAAAUAAACUUAAAUUUAAACCUUUAUGAAUUUUUAUGUACUUUAUAAAUAAUAUAGUUUUUUUCACAUUAAAUAAACUUGUUCUAAAGCUUUCACACGCCUUUAAAANCACGAUGACCACUAUUUAAUUUGGCAAGUUCGCUGCAAGAUAACCUUAACUUAAGCCUCCUCACGUUCUCUAUUAAUAAAUAUUAUAACAAAAUAAACUUAAAUUUAAACCUUUAUGAAUUUUUAUGUACUUUAUAAAUAAUAUAGUUUUUUUCACAUUAAAUAAACUUGUUCUAAAGCUUUCACACGCCUUUAAAACAACAUAACUUCAUUUUUAAAUAUAUAAUUAAUAAAAACUUUCAUAUCAAAUGAGUGAUCAACGGUAAGUUCCGACCAAAUCAAGGUAUUUUUGCUGUACAUAUGCAUCUGCAUCGCCUAUUUUUGUUGAAGAUAAGACCAAAUUAACUAUUAGUUAGAAAAUUAGUUAUUUAAAAUAAUCCUUUCAUAUGUUUAGUUUGAUAAACAUCUAUUAGUUGUAUUGUUAUAAAUUAGUCAAUUUGUUGGGUUAUUAAUAUAUGGCUAGCAUUGCUACUUAUUCGGCCAAGUAUGUACACGAGAGGAUCAACCAAUUAAAUAAGUUUCUUCAUAUUAUUCUUGUUACGAAAAACUCACAAACAGAAACAAAAAUGAUAAACAUGAAACAGACAAACCACAAGCAGAAAUAAAAGAGAACACCAAGAUUUACGUGAAAAAUCCUUUGCAGGAAAAAACCACGGUGAGGGAGGAGAGAACUUCACUAUUGAAAAAGGAAUAUAAUGUUUGAAGUACAACAAGCAUCAAUCUGUCACCUUUAGGGCAAAAGCGAAAAAGAAACUCUUAACAAGCUCGGGCCCCCUCCGCUACACACCACAAACAUUCAUUUUUUUCUCCACAAACUUAUUUUCAAGUUGUCGCACCGCGAAACUGCUGGCGUGUCGAAAGUCCCGAACUGAAGUCGAUUAUCAAUUUCGAGUCACAUAUAACAAAUCUCUAUCUUGACGAGAAAUUUUCUUUAAAUGAAGCAGCAACCAUAACUCUCCACCUUCUCCACAAAGCCCCUGAGGGUGGUCCAAUCAACAGUUAAUACUAAUCAAGUCCAAGCAAUACUUAAACUUGAGAGGAAUAAGGGGCUUCGUCAACAUGUCAGCAGGAUUUUCUAAAAUGCUAAUAUUUUUCAUUUCAAUGUCUCCUUGCGCAAGAACUUCACGAAUAAAAUGAUACUUGAUGUCAAUAUGCUUUAUUCUCUCAUGAAACAUUUGAUCCUUUGUGGGAUAAAUGGCACUCUGACUGUUGCAAAAUACUGUUAGUUUCUGACUGCCACCGCUUAAUUCACCCAGUAGGCCUCUUAACCAAAUACUUUCCUUCACAGCCUUCGUGAUCGCCAUGUACUCGGUCUCUGGUGUAGAUAGUGCAAUAGUAGAGUAAACAGGCUCGCCAACUAAUAGCGCAUCCUCCAAGUGAGAAGACAUAACCAGUAAGAGAUAUUCUUUUAUCAAGAUCUCCAACAUAAUCAUAAUCCACAUAGCCUGUCAAACAUGCUUCAGAUCUUCUGAACUCUAAACAAGCACUAGUAGUAUCUCGCAGAUACCGCAAAAUCCAUUUCACAGCUUGCCAGUGUUAUUUUUCUGGAUUUGCCAUGUACCUACUCACCAUGCUUACAGCAUGUGCAAGAUCUGGUCUCGUGCAAACCAUAGCAUACAUUAUGCUACUGACUGCGCUGGCAUAAGGGACUUGUUCCACGUAUGCCUUCUCAUCAUCAGUUUUUGGAGACAAAUCAGUUGAAAGUUUAAAAUGUGUAGCGAAAUGCGUACUUACAGGCUUAACAUCCUUCAUACAAAAGCGCUCCAACAUGCGCUGGAUGUAUCCCUUCUGAGUCAGCUGUAACUUCUUUACUUUUUUGUUUCGCUGCAUCUCUAUACCAAGUAUCUUCUUCGCUGCACCUAAAUCUUUAACAUCAAAUUCAGAUUUCAACUGAUUUUUGAGGUCAUCAACAUCAGCCAUAUUCUUAGCAGCAAUCAACAUGUCAUCCACAUAAAGCAGCAAAUAGAUGAAAGAGCCAUUAAUUAAUUUUUUUUAUGUAAACACAACUAUCAUAAUUGUUUCUAUUAAAAUCAUAGCUAAUCAUAAAUGAAUCAAACCUCUUAUACCAUUGUCUUGGAGAUUGCUUUAACCCAUAGAGAGAUUUCUUUAAUCUGCAAACCUGGUCUUCUUUUCCUUCAACGACGGAUCCCUCGGGCUGCUGCAUAUAAAUCUCCUCCUCUAACUCGCCAUGUAAGAAAGCCGUCUUCACAUCCAGUUGCUCAAGUUCCAAAUCAUUUAUAGCAACUAAUCCAAGUAGAACUCUAAUGGAUGUAUGCUUCACUACUGGUGAAAAAACAUCAUUGAAGUCGACACCCGGAAUUUGACUGUAUCCUUUCGCAACCAAACGGGUCUUAUAUCUGAUACUCUCAAUUCCUGGAGUGCCUUCUUUCUUCUUGAACACCCAUUUGCAACGAACAACUUUCUUUCCCUUUGAAAGCUUUUUUCUUUCCCUUUGAAAGCUUUACUAGAUCCCAAGUUUGAUUUUUAUGAAGAGAUUCCAUCUCUUCCUCCAUAGUGAGCAAUCAUUUUGUAGAUUCAUUACAUGAAAUUGCCUCUUUAUAAGUGCAUGACUCCUUAGGCGCAUUUGUCUCUUGAGCAGUCAUAAAUGCAUAAGCCACCAAGUUCAUUUCUUCGUUCUCUGUGGUGGUCUAAUCUCCCUCCUUUGUCGAUCUCUGACUAUCGAAUAUGUGUCUGUCUAUGAUGGUGCCCGCGGCUCGGUAAAAGCAGAAUCGCUUGAAGAGGUACCUGAUGUUGGAAUGAUCUAACUUUUAGAGUUGUUUUGAAACUCCACCUCGACAGAUUUCUUUGAUGCAUCUGCAUCUGCAUCUGCACCUGUAUCACAAGAGACACGCGACUCCUUCUUUCGGUGAAGCAUAGCAGUUUCAUUAAACUUAACAUCUCUACUAAUAAUAAUUUUCUUAUCUUCAGGACACCACAACCGGAAACCUUUAGUACCAAAAGCAUAACCCAAAAACUUGCAUUCUUUAGAUCUAGGUUUCAAGUUUCCUUGACUAACACGUGCAUAAACAGUGUAUCCGAAAAUUUUUGAAUCAGAAUAACUAGGAAGGUGGCCAGACGAUACCUCUUUCGGAGUUUUCAGAUCAAUGGAAGUCGACGGAGACCGAUUCACCAAAUAGCAAGCUGUAGAUGCAGCCUCUGCCCAAAACUCCUCACCAAAUCCUGCAUUUGAGAGUAGGCAUCUUGUCUUCUCGAUCAAUAUUCUGUUCUUACGUUCUGCCACGCCAUUUUGCUGCGGUAUAUAUGCAACUGUGUGAUGUCUCUCGAUUUCUUUAUCUUUACAAAAUUCAUUGAAUUCCCCUGAACAAAACUCCAAUCUAUUAUUGGUGCGAAGGCGUUUAAUUUGCUUUCCUGUCUGCUUCUCAAUCAAAGUCUUCUACUGCUUGAAAGUCUUGAAUACAUGGCUUUUUUGCAAUAGAAAAAAUGUCCAAACCUUCCUUGAACCUAUGAAGGUUAACAUGUAUUUCGCUUCACCUUUAGAGGGUACUGGUGCUGCCCCCCAAAGAUUUGAAUGGAUGUAAUUUAGCAUUUCUUUGGUUCUGUGGACUGCCUUGCUGAAGCUGACCCUCUUCUUCUUUCCAAAAACAGUGUUUGCAGAAUUCCAGACUACCAGUAUUUUGGCCACAAAAGAGUUCUCUUUUGCUCAGCACCAUCAAUUCUCUUUCGCUCAUAUGUCCCAGCCUCAUAUGCUAUACUUUUGUGACAUCUGAAUCGGACAUAGAUGAAGAGGAAACCGCAGCUCCACAUGUCAUAGUAGAUCCUGGCAGGAUAUAUAGUUUUCCUUCUUACCUUUAACCUUUCAUCACAACAAUAGCUCCUUUAACAACUUCCAAAAUUCCAUCUUCACCAGUGAAUUUAUAUCCUUUAGUGUCAAGGAUACUCAAAGGUAUCGUUUGGUUCGGGGAUAAGCAAAAAGUGGGUAUUCCGGGAAUAGGUAUAAAUUGAGGUAUAAGCGAGGAUUAGAUCAAUUUUGCGUUUGGAUGAAAAUUGAGUUAUUGCUGGGGAUAAAAAAAAUAGCAUUUGGUUAGGUAAGAUGGGCAUAAGAUUAAGUUGGUAGUUAAAAAUAAAAAAUAAUGAUAUUAUCUUUUUCUUUAUAUUAGAUUUUAACUUUUAUAUUUUAUAUUAUAUUUUAAAAUUUAAAAUAUAAACUUUUAAUUUAAAAAUUAAAAUUAAAAAAUAUAACUUUUAAAAUCUCAAAUUUAUAAAUUUAAAAAUUAAUUUUUAAAGUUUGAACAUUAAAUUUAGAUGAAAUUUUAAUUUAAAAAAUAACAUAUCAAUUCUAAUAUAAAAAAUUAAAAUAUCAAAAUUUAUAAUUUAAAUUAACAAUUAAAAUUUAAAUUUUUAAUUUGUAAUUUAAAUUAUAAAUUUAAUUUUUGAAUUUAUAAUUUAAUUUUAUAAUAAAUUAAAACUCUCUCUCUCUCUUCUCUCCUCUCUCUCUUUAUGGGUGGAACAAGCAGGGUGAUCCUAAAAUAUUUUUUUAAAUUCAAAAAUUAAAUUAAAAUUUUUAAUUUUAAUUUUAAAAUUUAAAAUUUAAAAUUUAAAAUUUAAGAUCAAAUUUAAAUUUAAAAUAUAAAUAUCAAAUUUAUAUUAAAAAAUAUAAAAUUUAAAAUUAAAUUUUAAUAUUAAAUUUAAAUUUAAAACUAUAAACUUGAAUUUUGAAAUUACCAAUUAUAAAUUUUUAAAACUAAAAUUAAAAUUAAAAUUUUUAAUUUUUAAUUUUUUUAAAAAAAUGGGGGUGGGAACAACUUGUUCCCACCCUAUUCCACCUAAGGGUGGGAACUAGCUAUUCCCACCCUUAAUGGGUAACCAACCCGUUAAGGGUGGGAAUAGCUAGUUCCUACCCUUAAAAAUAGUGUUUGGGGAACAAGGGGGGGAUAACCCCUUAUCCUCACCCUUGUUCCCCAACCAAACAUGGCCAAAGAGAUUAAAUUUUUCUUCAAUUAUGGAAUAUAUCUUACAUCAGUGAGCGUUCUGACUACUGCGUCAAACAGCUUAAUGUUCACAACUCCUCGUCCAACAACUUUGCAGGAUGCAUCAUUCUCCAUCAGAACAACUCCACCAUUAAUAGCUUCAAAAAUAGAGAACCAGUCCUUAUUAGGACACAUAUGGAACAAGCACGCAGAAUCAAGGAUCCACUCUAUGCUGGCUCUGGAUUGAUCAUCACAGACGAGCAGAACAUUCCCAUCACUACUGUAAUUUUCUGCUACACUGGCUUCAGCAGAUUUCGAGCUAUCUUUUCCCUUUCGAUCAUUUUUCCCUUCGAUCUGUUCCUUCCUGUUCAAUUUGAAACAGUCCGCCUUAAUGUGGCCCUUCUUUUUACAGUAGUUACAGAUUAAGUUCUUAUGCUUGGAUUUAGAUCUAACCUUUUCUUUACUGUCACCAAAAUUUCUCUGCUUGGAUCUUCCUCUGGUAAAGAGACCCUCUACUUGACUUUCAGUAGUACCACUCAUCUCUUUAUCGAUCAUCUUUUUCGAGAGGACCGCAGUUGAGACAUCUUCCAAAGAGAUGGUAUCACGUCCAUAAAGCAUAGUAUCUCUAAAAUUUCUAUAAGAAGGCGGCAAAAAACAUAAAAGCAGUAGCGCUAAAUCUUUAUCUGUCACGCCCCGGGACCGGCGGAGGCCCUCCCGGUGGCGUGCCCAGACCCGCCAUAUGUCUACACAUAUAAGGCGUCUACAAGAAAAGCGGAAGUAAAAGCAAGAGAUGGAACAAAUAAGAGAAGUGAAAUAACAAGUAACUAAUGAUAUCAGAGCGAGUAAAGUUCUAACAUCUAUACUAAUAGUAAUAGAACAUAACUAAAGAAUAAAAGUAAAUAUAAGUUAUACAGUAUCAGCCUCUAAUACAAAAAUGGUGGUCUCUAGUACACUGGUAAACUCUCAACCUCUCCAAAAUAAAGUACAACGAGAGGUAGACCACCUAGCAAAUCGUCCUCGAAGGAAGCUAGCUCGAAGCAACUCCCUUCCCGCGGUCCCUGGCCUCACCCUGAGUGGAAGGCUCUGAAAAACAUCGAAAAAAAGAGGACGUGAGAACUAUAAUUUAUAGUUCCCAGUGGGCAAUUACUGACCUCAGCUCCUGCUCCACUAGGCCCCAAAAAUAAGGGUAAGUACAGGGUAGUAUUAGCAAUAAAGAUAAUAGUAACACGGUAAGAAAGCAUAAAUGAAGUGC